GACGAAGAGCAGACAAUUUUCAACAUUUUCAUCAUCAUCAUUGUGUGUGUGGCGGGGCGUUGGAAGGGCGGCUCGAAUUUCCGUCGAGAUCCACAUGUUGGAAGUCACAUAGAGAUUAUAGAAAGAAGAG
ensembl:ncRNA F23H12.18 ncRNA